rnacentral:rRNA from 1 species
CCUACGGGUGGCUGCAGUGGGGAAUAUUGGACAAUGGGGGGAACCCUGAUCCAGCCAUGCCGCGUGUGUGAAGAAGGCCCUCGGGUUGUAAAGCACUUUCAGUGAGGAAGAACGCAUGGUGGCUAAUACCCAUCAGGAAAGACAUCACUCACAGAAGAAGCACCGGCUAACUCCGUGCCAGCAGCCGCGGUAAUACGGAGGGUGCGAGCGUUAAUCGGAAUUACUGGGCGUAAAGCGCGCGUAGGUGGCUUGAUAAGCCGGUUGUGAAAGCCCCGGGCUCAACCUGGGAACGGCAUCCGGAACUGUCAAGCUAGAGUGCAGGAGAGGAAGGUAGAAUUCCCGGUGUAGCGGUGAAAUGCGUAGAGAUCGGGAGGAAUACCAGUGGCGAAGGCGGCCUUCUGGACUGACACUGACACUGAGGUGCGAAAGCGUGGGUAGCAAACAGGAUUAGAUACCCGAGUAGUC